UAAAGGGGGGGAUUCGGACUGAUCCGAGGUCAAUUCAAAAAUAGGGGUUUUACGGCGUCCCCGCGACGAUUACCAGUACGAGGUGUAUGAUUACUACGCUAUGGAAGCUCGACGUGCCCCGCCAUCGAUUUGGGGACGCGGGUUACCGCGAGUCCCAACACCAGCUGAGCUUGAAAAAAAAAAGAAAAAG
rnacentral:misc_RNA from 1 species